rnacentral:tRNA from 1 species
UCCUUGGUAGUCCAGUGGUUAGGACUGUGCGCUUUCACGGCUGAGGCCCUGAUUCAAUCCCUGGUCAGGGAG